rnacentral:rRNA from 1 species
CGACCCCAGGUCAGUG